UACAUUUGUACCAAUACUUUGCAAUGUUCACGUCUUUCCCCCGUCACAAUACAUUAUAUUUUCAAUAACAUAAUAAUAAUUCCUAUUGUGAGUUAAACUGGAUCCUAAUUAUAAAUGUAUUGACCAUUAAUGUAUAUUUUAUUACAUACCUACUUAAUUGUUUUCACAGUGAGUAACAAUAGUUGAUAGGUAAACAUUAUAUUAUAAUGUCAAUAUUGUUAUUGUUAUUGUAACAUGGUAAAAACAUUAGUUGUAAGUUGACACAAAUAAAAAAAUAUGUACAAUAUUACGAAUAUUGUGACGUCGUUUGUAUGAGGCAAUUUUCGUUAUAUAUUAUCAUUAUAUACCUACCUACUCUUACAAUACUGCAGACAAUCUUCAACGUAUACUCAUUAACCAACACAAUUAACUAUCCAUAACAUAAUCAUAUUGAAUACACUUUGUACCCUAAUGAGAAAUGAGGAUCACUAAAUGGUAUUUAUUCUCUUAAUUAUUAUACCCACCAGUGUUUGUGACUUAAUUUCUUCGUUACGUUUAUUAUACCCGUAAAAAAUAAUAAUAUUCCAAUCUAGACUAUAUUGUGUUGAUUUCUUUUUAUAUAAAAUUAUUAUUAUUAUUAUUAUAUACAUUAACAUUGUUUUAGUAUUAUCGUAAUAAUAGUUAAUAGUUAUACACUUAAACUAAUCAUGUUUUAUAACGCUGCAAUCAUGUGAUUACAAAUAUUGUGUAAUAAUAUUAUGUUAUAUUAAACCUAUUUAUGUAUCGAUAUAUAUAUGGGCUUAUGCACGUAUGGUAUGCAUAUGUGUUGUACACACUACCUUCGUGGACUACAUGUGUAAUCUACAAUAUAGUUUAUUAUUUAGCGUAAUAAACACUACAGUUGCAAGUGCAACAUGAUAAACUGAUGACUAACUUAAUAUAAAACCCACAAAAUGGAUAAAGAAUACAGAAUAAUGAUAGGUCAAAUGAAUUUAAAAAGUAAAAUAUUUGUCUACUGAUAAAAACAACAAGGAAACAUACGUAAACUUCACCCGGAUUAUCAACUGGGUUACAACCUAAAAGAUAAUGACCAACUUCAUACAUGAAACUGGAGCCAAGAAGUGAGGAAGUCAGUCAUCUUUGGUCGAGGUUAGAUACUACACAUUUUGGUUUUGGCUCAAUCAUAUUUCUCCAUGAACAGAGUAUAGAGUAGUAGCACUAUCACAAGCAUAAGUCCUAAUAAUGGUAAAAACUAAUGUUAAUAUACCUUCUAGUUCUUUGA